CAAAGAUUGUUGUUCCCAUCAGUCACUUAGACACAAAAACAUAGGAACAUAGGGUCCAGGUUGAAAAAGUUACCCUUUAAAGCCAACUAUGUUGAAUAUGGUUAUCAUGAUAUUUAUUGCGUGUUCAGUUGUACGGUUUGUGUACAGUAUCUUUGACGGAAGUGUGAUAUUUUAAUAAUGUCAUGUCAGCUGAGAUACAGUACAUGUGUGUGUGUGUGUGUGUGUGUGUGUGUGUGUGUGUGUGUGUUUACGAAAGACUUUGCUGUGCAUUUAUGAUUAAAUAUUGAAGAUAGAAAAAAAAGGAAAAUCCUGCCAACUUGUUAUAUACGGAGAUAUAUAUACGUAUACAGCGCACGUUUCUGUGUGUAACUCCCCACCAUUGAUAAAAAAAAAAACAAACAUACAAUAAUAUUGACAUUGUCUUCAUAUGAUUAUUUUUUAAGUGAAUUUGUAAAUGAUAGAUUUAGAAGCUAUAAUGGUGUUGAGUAUGAAUUUAUUUUUAUGCUGUGUAUACCAUGGACAAAUUCUCUAGAGAGUUUAUGUAAACUUGUUGUCUUACAGUUCACUCCAGUAACGGGGGAGAAGCACAAAGUGAUUGUACAAAAAAAUAUUGUGAAUGUUUGUAUAUUAUAGAUGCAAUUUAGUAUAAUAAAAAUCUCAAUCUUUAAUCAUA